ACUCCCCUUUGCAGUCACUGUCCAUCAGGUGUAGUAAGAUGCUACGGUGUUACUAUUUGUCUUCUCUGUGCUGUACUGCCCUCCCGUGACCCCCCCUACAUUAUGUGUGCUAAUCACGAUGCCCUUUAAUCCCCUUCCCCCUGACUACCCACCCACCCUUUCUCAGUAAUAUUUUAUUGUUUUCACUUAAGUUUCCCAGCGGUCCCCUCCCCAUUCCACUACACCUGAAGAUAACGUUUCCCUGGCCGCUGGUUGCUGCGUCCUCUCCCUAGCAACAAGGUUCCCGCCGUAGAACAAGCGGCUCUGGGUCUGAGGAACGUGAGGCCGUAAAGCCGCGAGUGUCGUAAACCAGGUACGGUGCGGAGAGGCGCAGGACGUGGCUCGAACAUUCGGACGCCCGCAGGAGGAGCAGACAGACGGCCCAGCCCAGGUGUGGGUGCGGAAAGCCGACGAACCGGAGGUGCAGUAACGGUCCACUUGUCCUUCAGGAGAACAUAUGCCUCCUUGCCCUGAUGUUGGUGGAUGCCCAUUAGAUCCUCUUUCUCCUUGCUGGCAAAGGCAGCUCCAGCCACAGUCUCUUGCCUUCAGACUUUUCUCUGGAGAUGAUGAGGAUACCAGCCCACUGACAGCUCUUACUCCAAGUAAGUCCUGAAAUCUCCCCUUUUAAAUAUGGACUGGAGGAGGGCUGUCUGUAAUGUCGGAGAUUCCAUUUUCCACUCAACUGGUUUUCCUGUCCAGUUGGUCCAGCAUGUAGCAUUUGGCUUUGGUUGGCACCUUUUGCACUGUCCUUGGCCUAAAAUAAUUCCAUUUUAGCAUUCUGUUACACAUGGUGGUUCCUUGGUCUUGAAAUGUUGAACCAGUUGAUUUUAUUAAAGCUUUAUUUGCUAAUGUUUUAAAAUCAAAGGACUUCACAUAAAAAUUUGGGUUUUGACUUUUCUCUAAAAAUCAAAACUGACCACUGCAUGCUGAUAUUCCAAUAAAGAAAAA